GUCCAGGAGAGAGAGAUAUACAGCUCAGUCUGUCCAGAGAGAUAUAACAGCUCAGUCUGUAUAGAGAGAUAUACAGCUCAGUCUGUCCAGAGGAGAUAUACAGCUCAGUCUGUCCAGAGAGAUAUACAGCCAGUCUGAUAGAGAGAUAUAAGCUCAGUCUGUCUAGAGAGGAGAUAUACAGCUCAGUCUGUCUAGAGAGAUAUACAGCUCAGUCUGUAUAGAGAGAUAUACAGCUCAGUCUGUCUAGAGAGAUAUUACAGUCAGUAUGUUAUAGAGAGAUAUACAGCUCAGUCUGUAUAGAGAGAGAUAUACAGCUCAGUCUGUCCAGAGAGAGAUUACAGCUCAGUCUGUAUAUAGAGAUAUACAGCUCAGUCUGUAUCGAGAGAGAUCUACAGCUCAGUCUGUAUAGAGAGAUUACAGCUCAGUCUGUCCAGAGAGAGAUAUACGCUCAGUCUGUCUAGAGAGAUACGCUCAGUCUGUAUAGAGAAAGAUAUAAAGCUCAGUUGUCAGAGAGAUAUACAGCUCAGUCUGUCCAGAGAGAGAUAUAA
rnacentral:lncRNA from 1 species